GUCGGAUGUGGUGGUGCAUGUCUGUGAUCCCAGUGGCUUAGGAAGCUGAGGCAGGAGGAUUGCUAGUUUGAGGCCAGCCUCAGCAAUUUAGCAAGGCCCUAAACAACUUAGUGAGAUUCUGUCUCAA
rnacentral:sRNA from 1 species